GAAAGGCGUUUCCGAAAUGCUUCUUGAUUUAUAGUCUCCUCUUCAUGCAAACGCCUCUACGGUGACUCGAGGGACAUUUGGACCAGCCAAUCAGCGCACGGGACAAGAGAGGUACAGGAGACUGCAGUGGUUGGAAGUUGGCAAGCUGCCCCUCGAAGUACGACUGCGCAGGGAAAACCCCGGCAAUUUAGUGAGCUGCUCUUUUUGAACCAUCAUAUGCUGUGAGAAGAAAACUACAGUCUCGCUUUGUCCGAGGAAUAAGUUGAGGAUUUUACUCUUGUCCUUGUUGUCUUUGUAAGCAUGUUCUAAACAGUAGACUUUAUUAUCUCUAUUUUCACAGUCAAUAACAGAUAAUAUUUCACUUGUUUACUUUUUUAAGUAUUACUAUUCAUAAAAGUAGCAAUACCACGUCAUAUAUUACUCUCAAAUACAUUUCAUUCUCAAAAGGUGGGGGGGGGGGCAGAAAUUCCUGCUCCCAGGCCCAUUAUGAGGCCGCCCUGCCAGUGUUGGCCACAGAGACGGACAGCGGAGGCCGGGAUUGUCACAGACAGAGCAGGGAUUGUGUUUUGCUGAUCUGUCACUUAACUGCAGCGUCAGAAUGCAGACAGUAGGCCGGUAUUUGUUGUUGGUAGCCCCGUGUUUGUCAGUGCCGUGGUUUAGGCCAAAUAGAUGUUAUUCUUGGCCAUGUUUGCAAUUUAUCGUUUUGCCCUUUUUAUUUUUGUUGCUGAGGUUUCCAAAGCAACCGUACUUGCAGGGGAGAUUAUUAAAAAGAACGUACGCCAGAGUCAGUCAGCAUAUAGUGGAACGGUGAAAACAGAUGAGUUAAAUCUUGUUUCUGUCUUAAAAACCUCAGGCACCAGGCAGUAAAAAGGCGUCCUUUGUUUCAUCUCCCAUGACGGUGAAUCACCGACCAGCGCACACAGUAGCCACAGCAAUCGCUCCUGACAUUAUUAUCCCGUGUUUACAGAUAGAUCCAGGGGAUGUCUGUCUGUGAGUUGCAGAAAGUGCCGUUUGCAGUGUGCAGAUUGCAACAGAGAAUUAUUGUAUUAUCUGCGUUUUACUUUAUUCAGUUGCUACAUUUUUCUUUUGUUGUGGUCGGAUAAAUUGUCUGGCUUCUUUGUGGAUCACGACGUGGCAGAUUUACUGCAGCACAAAGUUGUUGUUGGACCUCAGUGAAGUAAAUCUAUGUGUGAAAGGGGGGGGGGGGGCUCCACAAUUAGUUCCUGUCCACUUUCUUCUACGUGCGUCUACCAGACUUCAAUGAGACUGUCUUUUCUUUGUGGGAGCCGACCUGGGAACUACUGGAUUAUCUGAAAACCAUCUACACAAGCAAAAGGCUGCCAUGGGCAUUAAUGCAUCAGUAUUAGCCUACUUUAGUUUUGCUGACAUGUACCUUUACUAAAAAAGGACAGCUCAUCACUUACUUGUAACAGAGAACUUGAGUCUGUAUGUUUAAUUAUGUAAAGGAUCUUUAUACUUAAUUUGCCUGUUUAGACUAAGAAAUUAUCUUUACUUCCUCCGCUAUACUGUUUUUCUUAAACACAAGCAACUUAAGCACAGACUUGUUUGUCAUUGUCAACAAAAUGAGCAGAGAAAGGACCAGCCUUCAUUUUGGGGCCUGGGGCUUUUUACACUGGAUACCUUUCCACCAUAGUUACAACAGAGGAAUUAAACUGCUGGGGCUGUUUCCCAAAUCUCCAUAGCGACCGACAAAACCUUUGGAAAGUUUCCAUGAAUGACCACUUUGCAAAGA